UGCAGCAUUAUGUGCUGAAGCUUUCCAAAUUUGUAAGAAAAUUUCAUAAAAUUGGAGAAUUUUGUGAAAGUUACAGCUUUGGAAAUGGAAAAAGCUUUUUGGCAAUGGCUUUCUGAUGUGUAUACACGUCAUUGUGGAGAAGUUUAGUUUAUUUUACGGCUGCGAUUACGAAGAAGAGGAAUGUGGAGAGGACGAAGCCUUUUUCUCGCGUUUCUCCUCGGGAAAACAAUUUUUUCUACUCGUGCGAAAGUUUUUCCUCGCUGUGGAUUUCAAUAAAACCCUAGAUGGGGGACCAUAACUAACCCGUCAACAACAAUAAUUUAAUUUAUUUUUUUAAUUUUUUUAAAAAAGCACUUAGUUUUUGCUGUUCAGAUUUUCAUUUUAUGAGUUUUUACAGAUGUAAAUAAAAAUCAAAGAUAAAUUUCCAUCAGUUUCAUAAUUACAUUGUGGUAAAAAAGUCAUUGAAAGCUAUAUGGGGGUUUCUGACUAUGACUUCGUCUUAUUCACAUGUGGUUUAGGAUAGAGUUUUGAAGGUAUUAGAAGAAAGACAAAAUGAAGGAGGGGAGUUAAAAAAGGGAGACUGUUGAGUAUUGCUUUCUACUUUUAUAGGAAUUAAAAUAUAUAUCUGUUGGAAAGCAAGCAUGGAUAAUAGUAAAUCUUAUGGGCAUUCUUUCGUUCUGGGAUUUUGUGCAGUAAAGAGAACAGAGGGUGGAAAGUAUAAUAUCAUCUCAGUUUCUGCUACACAAUUUUACCGCCUUUCUUUCCUUUUUUAGCCAGAAAUGUUAAGCUUUGAAUGAUUGAUUUUAUAAUCGAUACCCUUAAGCUUCAUAAUCAGUUAAGCUUAUGUGUUAUUGAAGCCAUGAGCGUAUUUCUGAGCAGAAAAAUUAAUAGAUUCUGAAGUUUAUGCUUGUUGACUGUAUGAUUCAAGAGUG